GCUGAGAUCAUCGACUGGAAAAAACGCCGUCCAUACACACGGCAUUCAAAUUUGGGCUGGAAGAGAGGGAAAUGUAGUUUUCAACGAGAAGCCAGCACAUCAAGGAUAACCUACUCCAGCGGGAUAUCGACGUCAAGUACCAGGAUGCAGUGCGCGCGCUUGGACGAGGAGCCUGGAUUUUUGUGAAGACAUCAACACCGUCAUCUACAGCUUUUAUAGGGAAACUACAUAUGGAAGAAUAAGCCUAAAGCCAGAGUUAAGUACACCUGUGUCGUCUGGCUCCCACGCUCUUCCACCUGUCGUCAUGGAAUAUGGAAGGGACCUCACUGGUGACUUUUACAGUAACUACAAAUAUUAUCAUUUUUAUGCAAUCUGCUUUGGUUUGGGUUGUGGAGCAGCGUUCUAUAGGCCAUUUCAUUCACUCUGGAUUCCAUCAGUUUUUGGUGGGUUUUUCACCAUUGUGUUUGAGAUUGUGGGUAUAAU